GAUGAACGCUGGCGGCGUGCCUAAUACAUGCAAGUCGAGCGAACAGACGAGGAGCUUGCUCCUCUGACGUUAGCGGCGGACGGGUGAGUAACACGUGGAUCACCUACCUAUAAGACUGGGAUCACUUCGGGAAACCGGCGCUAAUACCGGAUAAUAUCUUGCACCGCAUGGUUCAAUAGUGAAAGACGGUUUUGCUGUCUCUUCUCGAUGGAUCCGCGCCGCAUUAGCUAGUUGGUAAGGUAACGGCUUACCAAGGCAACGAUGCGUAGCCGACCGGAGAGGCGGAUCGGCCACACUGGAACUGAGACACGGUCCAGACUCCUACGGGAGGCAGCAGUAGGGAAUCUUCGGCAAUGGGCGAAAGCUUGACGGAGCAACGCCGCGUGAGUGAUGAAGGUCUUCGGAUCGUAAAACUCUGUUAUUAGGGAAGAACAAAUGUGUAAGUAACUAUGCACGUCUUGACGGUACCUAAUCAGAAAGCCACGGCUAACUACGUG
rnacentral:rRNA from 1 species